rnacentral:rRNA from 2 species
GGGGAUACUCCGGGAACCGGAGCUAAUACCGGAUAACACAUAUCUUCGCAUGAGGAUAUGUUAGAAGGUGGCUUUUAGCUACCACUCAAGGAUGGGCCCGCGGCGCAUUAGCUAGUUGGUGAGGUAACGGCUCACCAAGGCGACGAUGCGUAGCCGACCUGAGAGGGUGAUCGGCCACACUGGGACUGAGACACGGCCCAGACUCCUACGGGAGGCAGCAGUAGGGAAUCUUCCGCAAUGGACGAAAGUCUGACGGAGCAACGCCGCGUGAGUGAUGAAGGUUUUCGGAUCGUAAAGCUCUGUUGUUAGGGAAGAACAAGUACCUGUUAAAUAAGCAGGUACCUUGACGGUACCUAACCAGAAAGCCACGGCUAACUACGUGCCAGCAGCCGCGGGUAAUACGAA